rnacentral:lncRNA from 1 species
CUGGCCAUGUUCUCACCCAUGGACAACCCUGGCCAAGCCCUGAGUGGCCAAGGAGAUUAUCUUGUCCUCACAUCACAGGACAUUGCUUAGGACCACAACAGAGCUGGUGGCCUGCAGGACAUCUGACAGAGGUGUCUGGAGGCCACGUGUUUCCCAUUUCUUGUCCUGUAUGGGACGGCUCUGCCCUGGUAUGGAAACCCAGAGCUGGGUGUCUUGGUGGUCUGGUGACUACAGUGUCCUGCAUCAAAUCAACUUCCCUCAUCUCAUGCUCUUUUUGUAUCACAGAAUUCUUAGGGUUGAAAAAAACCUCCAAGAUCAUCAAGUCCAGCCUUUGAAGGCCAGCCCAUAUCCCUGAUCUUUCCAUGUCUCCAAAGGCAGAUGGAGGGCAUUCUUUAGGCGUGCCUGACACCGUGUCACAGAAAGGCUGUCUCUGUAUCAUGUUCUCUGCAGCAGAGCAAACAGCAGCCGUGCUUAGCAAAUAGAUUAACACCUUUGUUUACUCAUGAGACAUUUAUGAUGGAUUUCAGUUGUGUUUAAAAAAACCCAGACAAACAGUAAACUGAGCAUGAAUAACGAUUUAGAUGAAGUGUUGGAGGAGUAAUUCCUUCUACAAAUGCACAGAAUUCAAAUCACCAGGAAGGAGCAGGAGGUGUUUUUAUGUGCUGAUUUAGCACAAAUUCCAGGAGCCCCACGAGGCUGCCUGCAUGUUGAGAGGAGUGACUGCUGGAAAUGGCUCUGGUGAUCUCAGUGAUCCCCAUGAACUCUGUGUCCUCCUGGCACCACUGAGCACGAUGACAGGUGACAGAAAGGUCUGCUCAUGGCUGUGUUGGUGUGGUUGUUAACACAUGGAUGGAUGUCAGCCCUCACUUUCCCCAGCAGCCCAAAGUGGAGUUGCAACUCCAGGAGUUUAACAAGUGUUUGAAGGACUUGUCCAAACAAGCAGAGGAGUCCUGCCUGUCCCCUGUGGUGCCUUGGAGUGUGAGUGACAGCCAGGACACUGAAGGAUGGACUUACAAGCCAGGAGACAGUGUAAGCAACAUUCAGACAUGCUCUUCCAAGGCUGGAGAAUCCCCAGCACUCUUGUGAUGCGCUUUUGGAUGGGACAACAUUAAGAUAUUAAGAAACAGCUGCAUCUUCUCUGAUCAGAAAAGUCCACAAUCCCUGUUGGUCCUCAAGACAGGAAAUUCAUGGCUUUUAGGAGAAAUUAUGCUCUGUGUCUGGCUGAUGAAGUUUUUGCCUGGUAUUCAAGCAGGAGGGAAGAGCAAACUUGGGAAUAUCUUGAGUAGUUCCAGCUGAGCACUGAGGCACAGCAAAGAGCAGAGUGAAGAUGAGGGUGUUGGCAGGGGCACUCCCUGCCUCCUAUGAGACCUUCAGUGCAACCAGAGGAUUCUCCCCCAAACCACUGCAAAUUCCAAGCAGAGGUGUUGGCUUCUGAGAGGAAGAGCUGCACAAACAUUCCCCAGGAUCUGGCAGAGUUUUUAUAAAAGUUGAUUUUAUUUUGUGCAAAUUAUUAACUUCGGUUGAAAC